AAUAAAUUUGCAAGCGAAAAUCUCCCAUCCUCUUCUUCUUCUUCUUCUUCUUCUUCCUUGUUCCUUCUCCUCUUUUUCUUCUUCUUCCCUUUUCUUCUCUGUUUCCUUAGCUCCAUCGCCAAAUACGAAAUCCUUCUCUAUUUGUAACGUUUGCCAAUGCCUGCACAUAAACGUUCUUGGUCCGACACUGUUCAUGGCGAAGACCCCAGAGACCAACAAUUCAGCCAUCAAGAUGCCAAGCAAUCUCGAACCGAACGUGAGACCAAGACUGACAUAGAAGAAGAAGAGGAGGAGGAGGAGCAACGGGAGGAACAGUUGAAGGAAGGACAACGAGUAGAUGAAGGUGAGGAAGAAAAGCAACGCCAGCAAUUGGAAGAAGCGACUGGAGAUAGAGAUUCCGAAGGAACCCAAUCCUCUAGCUCUGAAGAGAAACCGGAAUUUAUUUUUGUGGAGCUUUCAGGCAUUCGGAAAGAUGUUCAGUGCCCAAUUUGUCUUGGGAUUAUUAAGAAAACGCGAACUGUAAUGGAAUGCUUGCACCGGUUCUGUAGAGAAUGCAUUGACAAAUCAAUGCGGCUGGGGAACAAUGAAUGUCCAGCUUGUCGUACACAUUGUGCCAGUAGACGUUCUUUGAGAGAUGAUCCAAAUUAUGAUGCACUGAUUGCCGCCCUAUAUCCAGAUAUUGAUAAAUAUGAGGAGGAGGAAUUAACAUUUCAUGAAGAAGAAAGGAACCGUAAUAAACAGAUUCAGGAAUCAAUUGCUCAGAUAUUUCAACGACAAUCAGAAGCACUAAGUAAGAAACGCAUAUUGGGAAAGGAUACAGCUGGUGUGAUUCUAACAAGAUCACGUCGCAAUCAUAGGAAUGUUCAUUUAAGGAGACAAAAUGGCCGAGGAGAUGAAGUAUCGGGAUAUGAAGAUAAUGACGAUGACGAUGAUAACAAUGAGGGCAAAGAUUCAUCUUCAGCUGAUGAAAGAUUUACAGAAGUUAGACAAAGGAGGAAGAAGAGACAUCCCACCGUUCGUUCCUCUCAGCCUUCUUCGUCAAUAGCCAACAUAGAUAGUGGAGAUGGAUGUGCUGAAAGUGAUUUAGAUAUGAGCAGAGAGAAUCGAACAGUUUCUCCAGGUCUUGUCUUGAACACUGAAAUGCUUGGUUGGGGGCGUGGUGGUGUACGUAGUAACUCCAGGCAUGGUAGUGCUGGUGGGUCCGGCAAUAAAAGUUCUAGAAGUAGUCGUUUAAUGAAACUAGCCAAAUAUCUGCGAGGCCUAGAAGAAAAUAACAAUGAGUUGGAUGUCCAUCUCCUUCUUAUUUCAGUGGAUAAAGAAAGCACUCCAAGUUUGCAGCAGCCACAUCUCUACUGCCGUCCAAGUUUGACUGUCAAACACUUGCGUGAAGUUCUCUUUUCUUAUUCCAUUGAAAGCAGUAUGUCUCGCGAAAGACACCUCUGCAAGCUGAUGAUGUUGAAAUACUGUCACUGAAAGGUCGCCCUAGGACUAGCAAUGAGCAAUCAACCCCAAGUGCUUCAAUCUCAAUUGAUGGCAUGUCUCUUGUUUUUGAUCCACUUAAGUAUGAGCUACAAAGUUUGGAAGGCGAAAUUUUUUUGGCAGGACUUCAAUCAGAUUGCACCUAUAGUAGGGACCUCUUGAUUCUAGGAUAUCGUCGGAAGGGGCGGAGUUAACAAGUAACACCUAAUACCUAUACGCAUAUCUUAUUUUAACUUGUUAUUCAAUUUUCCAUACCUUUUUGCUUUUAGUGAUAGGAACAUUUUUAGUAUACCUGCUGAUACAAUAUGAGGGAACUUGUAAAUAUGAAUCCUGAAGGUUUCUUUUUAUUACAGCAUAACAGUAGCUACAUUUUUUAAUUCUAGUUGUUGUACAACAUCUUGGCGGUGUUCAAGGUUCGAUUCUCAUUGUGUGAAAUUAAUAAAGUCAAAUUGUACCUGUCCAGGAA